rnacentral:pre_miRNA from 1 species
GACAUACUCCCUCCGUCCCAAAAUAAGUGUCUUAACCUUAGUACAACUUUGUACUAAAGUUAGUACAAAGUUGAGACACUUAUUUUGGGACGGAGGGAGUAUAUA